AAUCCAUGAGUCAGGCAUUGAAGUAGGAGUUUCUUAAACCUCAGCCACAUUUCAUGGAUGUGUUCACCCUCCAAUCGUUUGAAACCUUCAAUGUUAUCUCUGAGUUU
rfam:Solanum tuberosum cultivar DM 1-3 516 R44 scf00064_6, whole genome shotgun sequence.